rnacentral:rRNA from 1 species
AACGAACGUUAGCGGUGUGGAUUAGGCAUGCAAGUCGAGCGCGAAAGCCGUAAGGCGAGUAGAGCGGCGAAAGGGUGAGUAACACGUAACCAACGUAUCCUUCAGAUCGGAAUAACUGCUGGAAACGGCAGGUAAUGCCGAAUGGUCCGGACGGGGGGCAUCCCCUGAUCGGUAAACGGUGGCGAAAGCUGCUGCUGGAGGAGCGGGGUGCGGCCUAUCAGCUAGUUGGCGGGGAACAGCCCACCAAGGCUACGACGGGUACCGGGUCUGAGAGGACGGUCCGGCACACUGGGACUGAGACACUGCCCAGACUCCUACGGGAGGCUGCAGUCGAGAAUCUUCCGCAAUGGGCGCAAGCCUGACGGAGCGACACCGCGUGCGGGAUGAAGGCC